CCUGCCCAAGAGACUGGGAUAACACCUGGAAACAGAUGCUAAUACCGGAUAACAACACUAGACGCAUGUCUAGAGUUUGAAAGAUGGUUCUGCUAUCACUCUUGGAUGGACCUGCGGUGCAUUAGCUAGUUGGUAAGGUAACGGCUUACCAAGGCAAUGAUGCAUAGCCGAGUUGAGAGACUGAUCGGCCACAUUGGGACAGAGACACGGCCCAAACUCCUACGGGAGGCAGCAGCG
rnacentral:rRNA from 1 species